GGAUUAUUUGAAAGACUAGUUAAGGAAAGAAGAGUGAGACCUACUGCUUUGAUGCCUCUGUGGAACAUAGCUGGAUGCAGGAUGUGUACUGGGUGCUGGUAGUGCAUUAUUAGGUAAAGAGGCAGUAAUGGCUUGUACUGUUGCUGCUGAACAAGCUUAUUACAAUGAUCAGUUAAGGGAGCUGUUGAAUAGAGAAGAAAAAGAUGAAG